GAUGAACGCUGGCGGCGUGCCUAAUACAGCAAGUCGAGCGAACAGAUGAGGAGCUUGCUCCUCUGACGUUAGCGGCGGACGGGUGAGUAACACGUGGAUAACCUACCUAUAAGACUGGGAUAACUUCGGGAAACCGGAGCUAAUACCGGAUAAUAUAUUGAACCGCAUGGUUCAAUAGUGAAAGACGGUUUUGCUGUCACUUAUAGAUGGAUCCGCGCCGCAUUAGCUAGUUGGUAAGGUAACGGCUUACCAAGGCAACGAUGCGUAGCCGACCUGAGAGGGUGAUCGGCCACACUGGAACUGAGACACGGUCCAGACUCCUACGGGAGGCAGCAGUAGGGAAUCUUCCGCAAUGGGCGAAAGCCUGACGGAGCAACGCCGCGUGAGUGAUGAAGGUCUUCGGAUCGUAAAACUCUGUUAUUAGGGAAGAACAAAUGUGUAAGUAACUAUGCACGUCUUGACGGUACCUAAUCAGAAAGCCACGGCUAACUACGUG
rnacentral:rRNA from 1 species